AACUUUUUGUUUGUUUAGAAAACUGUGGCUGAAAAGCAGGAGAAGAGAAAUCAGGAUCGACUGAGGAGGAGAGAGGAGAGAGAGCGGGAGGAGCGACUGAGCAGGAGGUCUGGAUCAAGAACCAGAGAUCGAAGGAGGUCACGCUCCCGGGAUCGGCGUCGCAGGAGGUCCAGAUCUACCUCCAGGGAGCGACGAAAGUCGUCCCGAUCCCGGUCCCGAGACAGACACCGGCGCCACCGCAGCCGUUCCCGCAGCCACAGCCGGGGCCACCGCCGGGCUUCCAGGGACCGGAGUGCGAAAUACAAGUAACUACUCUGACUCCUUCAGUAGCUGCAACCAGGAGUUCUCCAGAGAACGGGCACCGAGGGAGGAGUCCUGGGAGCAUGGGCGCAGUGAGCGAGGGGCUGCUGACUGGAGGCUGGAGAGCUCCAAUGGGAAGACAACUUCGCGGAGGUCGGAGGAAAAGGAGGCUGGAGAGAUCUGAACCUACAUCUGGGCCUGUAAAUAGUCUGAUAAACAUUCAACACAGCCUAAAGUUACCCUUUAUAUUUGCUGAAUACAACUCAUCUUUUGUAGUUUACAAUUUCUAUUGUUUUGGAGCUCGCUGUGAGUUUCUAGCGAUGUACAGAGUUGCUCCUGUGUUCUGGGGUUUUGUUGAGUAGGAAUAAAUAAAUCUGACAGACGGCCUCCUUACUGCUGCGGUGGGGUCUCUGCUGUCCCGCUGUGCUCUAGAGACUUCACCGUGGCCUCCCACAGCGGGUGGCACACUGGAUGUUCUUGGUUAGCAAGCUCACCCUCAGAAAUUGUGACUUAAUGUUAGACUCCCUUUGACUGUUGGCAUCUGAAAUGCCUGCUGCCCUGCCCUGACCAUCUGGCGUGCAAUGUGCUGUCUGCUCGCUGGGCUGCACAGCUCCACCCCUUGGUGUAGACCACAGCAGGCUCCGCUGGGGAGGAGGGAGGUGCCCCAUUCCACGUCCACUUCUUUAGGAAGGGCUGCCCAUCUAGUCUGCUGUUAGCGCAGCCUCAGCCUGGCUCCAGUGAACAACACUGCAGCUUCCCCUUUGGGAGUUACUUAAGAACAAAGACAGGCCUUUGGACAACAUCCACAUGACAGCCACAAGGUCCUCAGAGGCAGGAGAUGCUGAUUUGGGUCAGGUUGUAGUUUGACGCAUACUCAAGAGAGCCUGGUGGUGGUACCCAUGCUCUCAGCUAUUCUGUCACAUUUUACUAAGAGACCAAAAUGAGCCCUUCUGAAAAGGGUAACAGGGAUCUCUUCUUUUCACUUCUUGGGGGAAGGAUACCUGCUUGGUAGGUAGAGUAGACCCCAAGCUCGUUGAGUAGAGGUGUGUCCUCUAGGGUUUGGGAAGUAGACGCAGGUUGGUGCAAAGCCAUGAAUGGGUUAAGGGUGGUCCUAAGGAGGGGAGGGGCAAAGGGGGAUGAGGCCUGGGAUUGUGGGUGCAUGACUGUUUGGCUGCCUGGGCUGAAGCAGGCAGAACACACCCCAGGUCAGGCAGCAUGAGGGUGCGCAGCUCAGAGCCAGGAUGACAGAAGGACCUCCCGCCUCCAUCCCUCAUCUCCUGGAGGGGUGGACUUUUAAAAAAAAGAAAAAAACUAGUAAAAUACACAAAACUUA